UAGGGAAUCUUCGGCAAUGGACGAAAGUCUGACCGAGCAACGCCGCGUGAGUAAGAAGGUUUUCGGAUCGUAAAACUCUGUUGUUAGAGAAGAACAAGGACGUUAGUAACUGAACGUCCCCUGACGGUAUCUAACCAGAAAGCCACGGCUAACUACGUGCCAGCAGCCGCGGUAAUACGUAGGUGGCAAGCGUUGUCCGGAUUUAUUGGGCGUAAAGCGAGCGCAGGCGGUUUCUUAAGUCUGAUGUGAAAGCCCCCGGCUCAACCGGGGAGGGUCAUUGGAAACUGGGAGACUUGAGUGCAGAAGAGGAGAGUGGAAUUCCAUGUGUAGCGGUGAAAUGCGUAGAUAUAUGGAGGAACACCAGUGGCGAAGGCGGCUCUCUGGUCUGUAACUGACGCUGAGGCUCGAAAGCGUGGGGAGCAAACAGG
rnacentral:rRNA from 1 species